UACGUAGGGUGCAAGCGUUAAUCGGGAUUACUGGGCGUAAAGCGUGCGCAGGCGGCUUUGCAAGACAGAUGUGAAAUCCCCGGGCUCAACCUGGGAACUGCAUUUGUGACUGCAUGGCUAGAGUACGGUAGAGGGGGAUGGAAUUCCGCGUGUAGCAGUGAAAUGCGUAGAUAUGCGGAGGAACACCGAUGGCGAAGGCAAUCCCCUGGACCUGUACUGACGCUCAUGCACGAAAGCGUGGGGAGCAAACGGG
rnacentral:rRNA from 1 species